rnacentral:lncRNA from 1 species
AGUGUCUGCUUCCUUCCAGCAUCCUAAAUGCAAGCUGGUGGCUUACAACAGACAUCCUGAAGGAGCAGGACGCAACAGCUGUGGAGAGGGCGGUGGAGAGAGAGGUCAGUGCCCAGGGACGUCUGAGUUCCCACCAGGUGGACUGGCAGGGUUGCUGUGGUCGGCUGCACAAUUGUGUCCAUCAAGAUUCGCAUCCCAUGUCAUGCCCGUUACUGUGAGGUUGUUGCUUUAUUUAUGACCUUUGCUUGGUGUGUUGCAGUCUAUACUUCAAUGCAUUCAUCUCAGUGAGUCAUGUGACCCUGGGAUAUAUAAUCAAGGGUGGGCUGCCUUUUGGGGUCCCUCAGCUGCACAGUGUAAUUGGGCCACAUACAGUUAAAACUCCAUCCACCCUGGGCAUCAUGGAGAAAAGUCAAAACUUUGUGGGACUACUGUAUUUUUAUUUUGAGAUUGUGGAUUUUUUAAGGUGGGAAAUACAGGACGAUCAGGAAGCAUCAUCACUGUAACCUUUCAGUGCUGAUCAUCUCUGAAGGUGCUAAGUCAGGCUUGCUCAGUCCUGCUCCUGCCCUGACUCAUGUCUGAGGUUGGAAAGGAGGAUUCUACCUGCCUUGCCAGAUUGCUGUUUUUAAUAGAGAACUCAUGUUUUUACCAACAGUUUUAAAAACAUGGCACUUAGGGAUGGUACCUGUCUGUGUCAUUGGGCUUGAGGAAUCCCCACCAAAUGUCUGCUUCCAUUUCUCUCUGAAGCCAGGUUUUGUGCUCAGGACUGAGAAUCCACCUUGAAGAAUGAAUUUGUAAAGUGCAGACGCCCUGGUUCUCAGGGGAUGUGAGAGCAGAUGUUUCUACAGAUCCUGCAAAGUUUGCUGUAUGUGUUCUUCCAACUUAUAGGCUUCUACACAAUCCCUAUUGCAAUUACCACUGUGAUUUUUUUUUUUUUUGAGAUGGAGUCUCACUCUGUUACCCAGGCUGGAUUGCAGUGAUGAAAUCUUGGCUCACUGCAACCUUCACCUCCCAGGUUCAAGCGAUUCUCCUGCCUCAGCCUCCCGAGUAGCUGGGAUUACAGGCACCCGCCACCACACUCAGCUAAUUUUUGUAUUUUUAGUAGAGACAGGGUUUCACUAUGUUGGCUAGGCUGGUCUUGAGCUCUUGACCUCAAGUGAUCUGCCCACCUCAGCCUCCCAAAGUGCUGGGAUUACAGAUGUGAGCCACCACUGUGAUUCUUUAAUUAUGGAGGCUGAUGGCAAAUUGGCCACUGGGCCAAUUAGCCUUACACAUAGUAGGCUGGGGAGAGGUCAGUUGCCCACGUUAGUGUAUUAUUUCUCAGAGAAACGGACAUGGUGUUUCAAAUUUGGAUGCUACUUUCUUGAACAGGGUGAUUUGUCUUCUUGGUACUUUUCUUGUCUUUUUAAAUUUUAUUUUAUUUAAAAAGAGUUUCAGAGUUACCUGCUUCUCCCAGAGAGACGAGGACAGAUUGUCUCCAGCAGGGGCACAGCAGACAAAAGGCACAGACUGACCUGGGCAGCCCUUGCUAGGCAACCAAGCUAUGAAAUCACAGCUCACUGGCACCAGCCCAAGCCUCUCUCUUCCCCUGGGCUCAUGACCAGAGUUGGGUUAUGACCUUGAAGGCAACAGAUGAAGCUUAAGAUACAGGAGUCCCACUUGCACAAUGUCCUUUUGAGGGAUAGGGUAAGCCCUAGCAAUA